CUGGUUGGUUCACCAGGAUGGACAUUACUGCAGUUACUUUGGCCCAUUUUGGGUUCCAUUCCUUGUGUGGGUGAACUUGUAUGCUGUAUCUCCCCAGGAAAGCUCUCACACAAGGAGGAGGAAAAAUUUUUUUUUCAGUGUAUCUGUGCAGCCUUCAAUCACCAAAUCAUUCUUCAAAUGCAUGAAGUCAUCCUGUUCAAUGGCUGUGCCUCUACCCAGCAAGUACUCCUCCCACUUCCUGCAGCCCCUCAACUAGAAUGCCUGUCCUCUGACUCCAGCCUGCUCAGCUUUGAUUGAUCCUGAGGAAACAGCUUGAGCUGAGUUGGAGCAUUUGUUGACAGAAGUUAGACUCAAGCUUCCAGAUGAUUCUAGAAGGCAGGACACCUGGGGAAGCGUGUUCAAGCUGAGUAGACAGAGGGCUAAAAGGACAAGAGCUGCACGCCUGAUCAUGCCACCACUGACUCCCAGUUCUUGGGGAACUCACAGUCUUCUUUUACAAAAUAAAAGUUUACAC